AAGCAUCCACUUGCAGAGCCACAGCACCAUACGUCACCGCAGUUUCAGACCCGCAGUUGUAGACCCGCAGUUUUAGACCCGGAAGUGACGUUACCAUUUCUAGGCAAGCCGAAAACAACACCUCCAUUUAUCGAACACAAGUCUUGGUUUUUAGCACGAGCGCAGCAUUUUCGAGCACAAACAAAAUAUGACAGAAAACAGCACGUAACAAGACAAAACGAAUAUCUUCAGGCACAUGGAUACUAAUUAAAAACAAGGUUAGUUUAUAGGGAUGUCAUUGAGAGGACUACAAGUAAUGGUCAUUGUUUUGUAACUUGCAGUAGGUGAUAUGAAUCCAUUUCAAUUUCGGAAUCUUCCACAGCAGUUGGUUGGGUGAGUGGAUUGUGGAGUAUUCAUGUUGAUGUGUGAUUUACCCUUGAUCAGGAGGUGCUGGUGCUUUAUUCUAUUGGAGAAUUUUGCUGUUGGAAGUUAUCUCUUUCUCUGUGGCUAACGUGUGAAUAUUUCGUACAGGACAAAGGCGUUCACUAAAGGAACCACUAAUAAAAAAGGACCUCCACACUGCAGUAAAAUGGUUGCGCCAACAUAGACGGUUGUUCAGAGGUGCCGUGUCUGAGCCCCAUUUUCUGGAGAUGGAGGAGGAGGACCAAAGCCGAGCUCUCCAGGACAUCAUCGAUGCAGUCGAAACUGAAGAUUUAAUUUUGGCAAAAGAACCCUUUGUAUUUAUUUUUCAGUUUAGGGAUGAUAUGGAACUUUUCACUCA